rnacentral:lncRNA from 1 species
AUCAAACAAACUUGGUUACGAGAUGGGGUCUCACAAACCGAUGAACAGCGACACUGUUCGAUGACAGAUUGAAUAUAAGCAAAACCCAAACCCUAAUAUGGCGAUGGCUACUGAAUAAAAAGGAGUUAGGGGCAUACAAGUCCCCUGGAUGCAACCCUAAUGGGUUCCAACACGGUACACAGGCCAACGGCCCAACAGACGGUGACACAGUAUUCUG